CCUACGGGAGGCAGCAGUGAGGAAUAUUGGUCAAUGGGCGGAAGGCUGAACCAGCCAAGUAGCGUGAAGGAUGACGGCGCUAUGGGUUGUAAACUUCUUUUAUAAAGGGAUAAAGUGAGGCACGAGUGCCUGUUUGUGGGUACUUGAUGAAUAAGCAUCGGCUAACUCCGUGCCAGCAGCCGCGGUAAUACGGAGGGUGCAAGCGUUAUUCGGAAUUAUUGGGUUUAAAGGGCGCGUAGGCGGGAUAUUAAGUCAGAUGUGAAAUCCUAUGGCUUAACCGUAAAACUGCAUUUGAAACUGUUAUUCUUGAGUAUGGGUGAGGUAGGUGGAAUUCGUGGUGUAGCGGUGAAAUGCUUAGAUAUCAAGAAGAACACUGAUUGCGAAGGCAACCUACUAGAACAUAACUGACGCUGAUGCUCGAAAGCGUGGGUAUCAAACAGGAUUAGAUACCCGUGUAGUC
rnacentral:rRNA from 1 species